rnacentral:lncRNA from 1 species
ACAAUGAACAAGAAGAAGAUGAUAGGGAACAAGAAGAUGAUGAGGAACAAGAGGAAGAACAAGUGGCUGAUAAGGAUGAUGAACAAGAAGAAGAAAGUAAUACUGAAGAAGAAGAAAGUGAAAAAGAUGAUGAACAAGUGAUUGAUAAGGAACCUAAAAUAGAUUCAAUAGAUCAGUAGAAAUAUGAUGAUUAUGGGAUAUAUUUCAUUGUA